rnacentral:rRNA from 1 species
AUGACACGAGGCGGGGUAACGGAAGACCCGCAGUACGGAAUGACAACAGUGGAUCUCAACAAUCUUGCGUAUGCAGACGAACCAUUCGUCCUAGCCAAUGAUGUGGCACAGGUUUUCUAUGUGAAGGACAUGUCUACCAAGCCAAGAAAAAGAAAAGAUAAGGAAGCGAAUGCAUCGUACAAUGAGCCAAAGCGGCACAUAGUUCUUUCUGGGAAGAGAAACAUCGUGGGAGUGGAUGACAAGACAGACAAGUCAGAAGAUUAUGAAAAGUUUGAUGAAAUUGCUCCAUUCACAGUGAAUAUUGACCCGAGCAUCCCGUUAAAUGAUGAAGAUUUUUCAUGGCUACGACGCAAAGGGACACACGCGAAGAAAAAGUUUCACACCCAAAGAUCUGGGGUGUGA